rnacentral:rRNA from 1 species
CCUACGGGUGGCAGCAGUGAGGAAUAUUGGUCAAUGGACGCAAGUCUGAACCAGCCAUGCCGCGUGCAGGAAGACGGCCCUAUGAGUUGUAAACUGCUUUUGUACGAGGGUAAACGCAGAUACGCGUAUCUGUCUGAAAGUACCGUAUGAAUAAGGAUCGGCUAACUCCGUGCCAGCAGCCGCGGUAAUACGGAGGAUUCAAGCGUUAUCCGGAUUUAUUGGGUUUAAAGGGUGCGUAGGCGGUCGGAUAAGUUAGUGGUGAAAGUCCGAGGCUCAACUGCGAAAUUGCCUUUGAUACUGGUCGGCUAGAGAGUAGUUGCGGUAGGCGGAAUGUAUGGUGUAGCGGUGAAAUGCUUAGAGAUCAUACAGAACACCGAUUGCGAAGGCAGCUUACCAAGCUGCUACUGACGUUGAGGCACGAAAGCGUGGGGAGCAAACAGGAUUAGAUACCCGGGUAGUC